UACCUCCUACACGUACGUGGUUACCUACAAGUCGAGCGUGGUGUUCUCCGAAACGGGCGGGGAGUCCUCCGACGCCCGUUGCACUUACGGGAUCGUCUACAGCAGCUUAUGUAAAAAGUUAAAUAGUGACAACAAGGGGUGGUUCUACUCCGUAAUUUCUCAUGGAACACAUUCGUUCCUUGUAGUUCUUCCUUCCAAUAGAGUUUGGCUCCAGUUUGAUAAGAGAGCCAGCAGUCACUAGAGUAACUGGGAGUAUGCCCUCGUACCCUGCUCGGGGACUAGGCAAGAUAAAAAUUAGGACAGCUGCGGUAUUCCUAGUACGUUUAGGGUUAAUUAGUAUUACGUAAACUACUAAAAUAACGGACCUCGGGUCUAGCUUCUCCAUAAAAAAGUCAAGCAAGCCGCAUGGCGAAUGUUACCUAAGUUAGAAAAGUCCGCGUACGUUUACAUAACCGUGCGGGUCGACCUAGUUUGAAUAGUCUUCAUACCGGAUGUGACACCUUUGACGUCCAAGGUGCAUUCUAAGUCUAAAAAACGACCGCACGUGAAGUACCUUAAUAGGGGGAUUCUAGGUAUGAGUGAUUAUCUGUACACCCAUGGUUACCGAGUACAGGCUAAACAGUGGUCCUGCGUUUUCUACAUGCGGUAGACGAAAAACUGACAUGUGUCCGUUUCCUUAAUACCGAAGCUGACCCAUAUGACCUAUAACAACUUCUUCGCUUCAAUUAACUAGCGAGACCAAGUUAGUAUGAGCUUGUGGACUAGGAUCGUCUGAGGUCUGGCUAGGGAUAUUUCGGAUUAAACGUACAUUUCGUCCACUAUCGCCAACCCCGAACCAUGAAUACCACCCACGCGGCAGUUGAGUGGGUACUACCUAGUGGCGGUGGAGGGAGCUCUACCGGAUAAAGCCAGGACCGUUAACGUUUAUUAAAAGUAGUUCGGUUGAAUUUUUAAGCGCAACAUGUACUUGUAUUUACCUCGUUCGGCCUUGGGUUCAAACACUUCGAUUUGCACCUACGGAGAAAGGUAUACCUACUCCCACGUCCUCGGUAACGUCGACAAGAAUCUCUGUCAUUACCAUUAAAAAACCGCCGUGUUAUAGCCAAAUAUGGAAUGCAUCGUCUACACCACUGUUGCCUCCGAUACCGAUACGCAUUACCUGAUUAGAAACGUUUAAGAGACCCCAAGAGAGCUCACCUUCGACUCAGACUGAGGAACUGCCAUUAACUAAUAACAUGACCUGUCUGUUCUACCACCCUACGACGCCGCCGCUAGAAACGCCUUACACACCUGCACAGAAGCAGUUAGCCCUUCCGCUCGCACGAGUUUUAGGGGGAGCUGGGGCCGACGUAGUCCGCUGAGGCGCUGGGGUGGCGGCCGGAGGCGGGAGGGGCGUGGCCGCUGGAGGGGGAGGAGAGGGAAGGGAAGGGAAGGGGGUAUAGCUCUUCCCUCCGGUACCACGAGGGUUGUACCGACAUAGAUCUGGUUCGGGCACCCCAAGGUCGAGCUGGAGGAGCGUCGCUGGUGCCGCCGUCCUAGGCGCCUAGGUACCGGUGCCGCCACGCUCGCGCGUCUGCGUCGGAAGUCUUCUCUCCUCCGUACAGCCGGUACCGCAAGGGCGGCGUCGGCCCAGUGACCGAGGUGGUGCUCGAGGAGCGUCAACAGUCACUGCUGCCGCCGAGGCUUGGGAUCGCCUGCGAGGACGAGCAGAAGGAGGUGUGGAGACGAGCACGGGCAGAAGGAGCCGCGGUAUAAGUCGUGGAUGUUCUUGCGUCGAAGGAGAGGGCGCUGUCCCCUACCUUGAACAGUUUAGAACCAGACUUCCCUUACAAUAGAGGACUCCAACCUGUCGAAUGAUUAUACGUAAAAGAUAUUCGUAUAAGAUAUCAAGGAGACCACUGCAAACAAAGACUUGUGAAACCAAAACUGUAUUGUACAAAGUGCGAAAGUUGGUAUUCUAUCAUAAACCAUAAAGACUUUGAUGGUUGACUUAUUCUCAGUAAAACGUGAAGCUAUAUCCGAUAGUACAACUCGUGUCAUCAUUUCGACUUUGAAGCAUCACACAUACAAAAGGACUACUCCGAAUACUGGAGUCGAAAACUCGACAGUUAAUUCCGUGUAGUUAGUUGAACCACAUACAAGAAAGAACCUCACAUCAACCUAUGUUCUGUCCACAAAGAAGAACCUAGAUGCCCUGAAAACUCUUAUGUUAAAACGUACCUAGUUUAAGUUUAUGGUGGGUCACGAAAUACAUCAAAAGGAUAACAAUUAUGGUAUCAUUUAGAUAGACAACUUAAUACAUACGGGUAAGUCCGUGAGUGGUUCUUUCGUAGAAUACAGAUGUCUAUAAUAAAAAACAUAGAAUACAUGAACACUUUACUACAAGCGGGAAGUUUUAAAAGACUAGAUAAAAGGAAGGUAGGUAUCACAUGACGUGUCCUUGAACAAGAUACCAUAAUAGGGAUCUCUCUACCCUCUAAAUGCUCUCGACUUCCACAACCUAGACCCCAUGUUAUUGAAGUUACCUGGUUAAGGUAGUCUCGAUUAUUUGUAAAAUAGGGACCUUAAAUACACGCACGCUUGAAACUAUGAGGGAGGCAAGCAAAAAUAUUCCGCAAAGUCUGUCGACUCAAACUUGACAAAUCAUGUGACAGACUUAAAUGAUUUUGCAGAAUAUAUUCACUUGUCUCCCUCAUAUACAAAGAAAAAGUAAAGACAAAUUGAAGUUUUGAACUGACUGGAAUGAUAAACUUAACGUCGAAAGAAUUUUCUUUGUCUGAAAUACCACUAAAUGGAGAACUUGAUUUACUCGAGUAGUCAGACACACUCAGAGUCCAAGCGGUGCCGUCCUGAAAGAGUUUAUCCUACGGGCGACGUUCCAAACAGAUUCAAAAGAAGAUGAACGUAUAGACUCUCAAUUUGAGCACUAAUACGUUCCGAACUCAAUUUAAAAGUUUAGUUUAUCCCUAAACUCGUUCGAACUAAAACCAAUUUUUUAGGGUGGGACAAGGACGUUAGUGUACAUACAAUUACUAUAGACUUUAUAAACUCUUAAUAGACAAAGCUGAGUUCUUUAUAGUCUGAAGAAAAUCCUUGUAAAGGAGGUGUUUUACCAUUUAAUAUAGGCUCAGCCGUAGGGACUUUGGGUCGGGUUUAGGUGUAUAUUGGAGUGAGGCCUACUUGGGAUCUGGGUUUAGAGAACUGUUACGGUACAACUUUCUAUCCGAACGAUUCUAAGCCGAGUUCUUAAGGACUCCCAUGAAGACAGAAAUAGUAUAAACAAGAGUGUGGAACCCGCAACACAAAAGGGCGGCGUUGCGUGCGCAGCUGGGCGUCAGGAGUACAAUUCACUUGGUCUUCGCCAUGUACGCUCUCUUUUCUUUUUGUGUGGGUUGGUGGACGUGCUGGGAAGGAGAGCUAGGGUAGACCUGGAAAUCAUAAGAGCCCUAUAUAGACUAAUACUACUACAAGGCAUGACGAGACCUCGGCUGUUGAAAAACCUGACGAGCUACAAAUAUUGGUUACUCUGAUGAAAAAACCAACAACCGACCUCCGACCUCGAUAGUGACACUGACUUUAAAAGAAAAGUGGUUUCAUUAUAAUAUACCAGUAGUUUUUGGUUACUGUCCAGUUGUGAACAGUCGUCAAACGUUAAACAUAAUGUCAUACGCAUUCGGUUACCAGUCUGUAACAACAAAAUCAAUCCUUUACAUCUUUUGCACAAGUACUAAAUACAUCUAACCUAUCAGGGAAGUUUGACGUCAUAAGCUAGAACUCGCCUGUUAGAUUGAUAUACAAAGGAAUAUCUUUUAACUGAUAUACAAGGUACUUAACUGACUAAUCAAACCGUGCUAGUCUAAUUUGAUCCAGAACUAAACUUCCAGGUCAAUCCCGUCGACCACGACCAAACAAAUAACAUUAUGAUUGAUACGGUAAAUCUGUCUCUGUACACCAGAAAGAGUAAGGAGCUGUAAAGGAAACGAUGGUUCUAAAAAGUAAGAUCCAACACCUUUUUGCCUACAUCGUAAGGAAGAUGUUCAACAGUACUCGACCCUGUAUCUUCUUCUCUCGGCUGUAUCUUCUUCUCUCGGCUGCUCUUCAACGUGUCGCCAAGCGAGGCCACAGCGACGGUUACCGCAACGCGUUUCACGUCUAACGUCCGAUCUACGCAUGCUCAGGUAGGGAUGCAGGUACUACAACUUCGUAUCCUUUAGUUCAGUUAAUCUAUCAUAUAGACCAAGACUUUCAACAGAAAACACAUCAUAUAGACCAAUACUUUCAACAGAAAACACAUGCGUCAAAACGGUAAUAAAACAUUUUCGAAACUCAAAAACUAUUAUAUUAACAGAAUGAUUAUUGUGAAAAUUAGUUAAGUAUGGUUCCGAUUAUCGGUUCAAUACGUGUUUAACAAGUACAAAAGAACUACUGACGAUAACAGUCUUCUAAAAAAAGUCGUAAAUUCAUUAUGGCUAGGGUGAAAGUCAAUACAUACGUUUCGGUCAUCGUUUCAUUACUGGCGAGGAACAACCAGCCUAUAAAGGAUAAAGGUCCGAAAUAGAGUAAGACGAAAAGCGUGGUACGACUAAACACUUACUCUUGGAUGUACUAGUAGGUGGGACUAAACAUUAAGCACCAGUGUAGGUCUGUGAGUCCAUACGUUAUACCAAAACGAGAAAAAACACACUAACAGUCGUAAGGGGUGACAAAGAAUGACAGUCUAUUUUUGUUUUCCUCUAAAGUGAGAUGUUACCUACAGAAAGAGGGUCGGAGGGUCCGUAUACAUUAAGGUGACGAGACUAACAGUAGAUACAAACUGCCGCUGCUACGAGAUGGAGUUGCGUCAGGUCCAGAUGGAGGUGGUCCAUGCCACGGUACUCCUUUGUGGGUUC
rnacentral:rRNA from 1 species